rnacentral:lncRNA from 1 species
CAGUUUAUUCCAAUAGACAAGUGUGUCAUCAACAUUUCGGGCCUAUAUAUUUUUGGAAGUUUGUAAAAGAUUAUAAGGUAAUAUUUAUCUAAACAAUCAUCCUAUGUACAAGAUUCUUUCAAAAAUUUUCAUUCAACUCGAUACACAUCAGUGCUUUCACGUGACACAUAGCAGUAGUGUUUAGCAUUUUGAAAACACAUUGGAAUAUUUGAAGUUUUCAGUAAAAUAUGGAAUAAAACAUUGAAUUGUC